UGUAGAUACCACAUAUUAGAUUUCUCAUGCAAUUAGGUUUGGUAUGGGACUAUAAUGGAUAGUAUGGCCUAGCCCUAGGUCUAGGAUAGUAUUAGUUCACAACUGAAGGCAGUGUUUUAAGAAACAGCAAAAGUGAUCUCCAUGAAAACGCAAAAGCAAACCUCAAGAAACAGCUCAAGUAAACUUCAAGGAACAGCUAAAGUAAACUUCAAGAAACAGCUAAAGUAAACUUCAAGGAACAGCUAAAGUAAACUUCAAGGAACAGCUAAAGUAAACUUCAAGAAACAGCUGAAGUAAACUUCAAGAAACAGCUAAAGUAAACUUCAAGAAACAGCUAAAGUAAACUU
rnacentral:sRNA from 1 species